rnacentral:rRNA from 1 species
UCCGUAGGGUGCAAUCGUUGUCCGGAUUUAUUGGGUUUAAAGGGUGCGUAGGUGGCUGAUUAAGUCAUGGGUGAAAGCCCGCAGCUCAACUGUGGAAUUGCCUGUGAUACUGAUUAGCUUGAGUGCGGUUGAGGCAGCUGGAAUUGGUGGUGUAGCGGUGAAAUGCAUAGAUACCACCAGGAACACCGAUUGCGAAGGCAGGUUGCUAAGCCGUAACUGACACUGAGGCACGAAAGCGUGGGGAGAAAACAGG